AAAUGCCCAUGAGUUCAGUCCCUGGCAGAAAAGAAAAGAAAAAAAAAUGCAAUGAACUAAACGUUUCAAAAUAAAUAAAUUACUAAAUUUUAUUUCAAAUUAAUCAUAAACAAAUAAAAAAUGAAGAAAUAAAAUAAAUAGGAAGAAAUAAUGAGAGGAUAGGGCUGCUCUGGUCAUAGCAGGACCAAGGUAGAGCUGAAGAGCUGGCACUGGCUGUGGAGCCUCUAGGAGCUGGCACUGGUGUGAAGGGGUUUCUGACAGUGACUAUCCCUCUGGUGCUCAAUGUGGUGAUGGGUCAGCAGCUGAAGCUGCAAGAAGUGCUAGAGGUAGCCCUGCAACUGGAAGAGGAGAAAAGAUCACCGAAUAUUCACAUUCCUGCCAGGAUACUGUCCACCUUCUCUCAGAGAAUGGGCCACACAAAAACCCAGGCUGGUAAAGAGUUCCCAGACUGCUUCCAACCUAUGAUUGCUCUGUUCCUCUUUGUCCCUGCCCUACCCCCGCUUCCAGAAGCUCCACACUGAUUACCCAGCCCCAUCUCCUCCCCACAUAUUCACAGAUCCCCACCCCACUCCUCUCACCUUCAGGCUCUGACUCAAUGGACACUGGGUGCUUCAGUAAUUCCAGAAGGUGGCUUUGUGUCCCACAUGUGGGCCUGGCAUGUUGAGCUGGCUGAUAUUCUGACCAGCUGUGUAGAGUGUUUCAGACAUGAGCCAAGGAGGGAGGAGACCACCCUAGGGGAAGAUGGGUGGGCACCAGCACGAGAGGCCUGGUCUUUCUUCCUCAUAGCCAUCCCAGGCAACCCUGCACAGCUGCAUUGCUGGGCCUCUGGAGAGACAGGCCAACCUCCCCCUAUGCACACCCUAGUGUGACAGCCCCAGUCCAGAGACUAGGUUCCAGGUUACAUCCUGGUAACCAAGGAUGUACUGAUAGAACCCAAUGGUAUGGAGACCUUGAUCAACAGUGUGACCAUCCCACCUGUUUUCAGGGAACUUUGACAUACGGUCUCUCUGCUCCCUUCUCAAUGGCAUGUCAAUUCCAUGAGGAAAGGAAGGUGGUGUCUGCUAUGUGCAUUGCACUCACUAUCUCUGGGCUGGUGCUCUAUAAAUACCUGAAAAGUGAAAGAACAGUGGGGAUCUGUCCUGCCCAGCCUUUCCUAGGCCUUUUGUUCACACACUGACAUGCUGCCCAAUUCUCUCUUCACCUCAUGUGGGUCAUCUUGUCCCACUGAUAUGCAUGCAUAUCUAGAGGAGGCCAGGAGGAUAUCCCAGCUCCUAUAAUGUUGAGUGUAUACCCCAAUAUCUAGUGUGAAUGUUUGACCUAGAGUCCCAAGAGGGCAGGGAUUUCUGUCUGCUCUGUUUAUAAGAUAAUGGUCAGUUCCCAGAAAAUUAAGAUAAUGGUCAGUUCCCAGAAAAUUAUCUGCACUUAGGGUGGCUUCAAGUUUAUGCAUUAUAGAGUGGAAUGCCACCCACUUGCUUCCAAGAUGUCUGAGUGGCACUGAACUCAGACUCUAUUAGCCCUCAUGGAAUCUAGUUCUGGGUAUACCCAGAGGUCCAUAGAGUGAGUUUCACCUCUGUCUUAUUCCAAGUCUAGAGGGUAAAUGAGGAGUGAGGCAAAGAGGUCCUUGAAGCAG
rnacentral:lncRNA from 1 species